rnacentral:lncRNA from 1 species
CUUGUGGUGUUAUAUUGUUAUACAGUACUACGUCCUGUGGUGUUAUAGUGUUAUACAGUACACAGUGCCUUGUGGUAUUAUAGUGUUGUUAUAUACAGUACUAACAGUUCCUGUGGUUAGUUUUACAGUAUUACCGUACCUGUGUGUUUAGUGUUAUACAGUAUUACGUACCUGUGGUGUAUAAGUGAUUACAGUAUUACAGUACCUGUGGUGUUAUAGUGUUAUAAAGUACCUGUGGUGUUAUAGUGUUAUACAGUAUUACAGUACCUGUGGUGUUAUAGUGUCAUACAGUAUUACAGUACCUGUGGUGUUAGUGUUUUACAGUUCUACAGUACCUGUGGUGUUAUAGUGUUAUACAGUACUACAGUACAUGUGGUGUUGGAGGUCUUCACUGCAGAGUAGACUGGAUCAGCUCCUGGAGACUUCUCUGCAGGAGACGAGACAACAGGUUGAAGACAUAAAGACCCUGUACUGUGUGUGUGUGUGGGUGUGUGUGUCUCUGUCUCUGUCUCUGUCUCUGUGUGUGUACUUCCUUCUCCUGUGUUCUGGGUCCUGUGUGAUUCUAACGUCAGCAUACGUAACAUCUCUGGGUUCAGCAGCUAUGUGUGUGUGUGUGUGUACCUCUCCUUCUCCUGGGUUCUGGGUCCUGUGUGAUUCUAACGUCAGCAUACGUAACAUCUCUGGGUUCAGCAGCUAUGUGUGUGUGUGUGUGUGUGUUACCUCUCCUUCUCCUGGGUUCUGGGUCUGUAUGAUUCACAUCAGCAUACGUAACAUCUCUGGGUUCAGCAGCUAUGUGUGUGUGUGUACUCUCCUUCUCCUGGGUUCUGGGUCCUGUGUGAUUCUAACGUCAGCAUACGUAACAUCUUGGGUUCAGCAGCUGUGUGUGUGUGUGUGUGGUGUGUGUGUGUGUGUACCUCUCCUUCUCCUGGGUUUGGGUCCUGUAUGAUUCUG